rnacentral:sRNA from 1 species
AAAAAACGUGUGUGAUGAUAAGGAAUCACUGUCUACAUUAGUAAUUCCCAACUUGGGUCCGAAAGUGAACUUUUGCUGAAGCGAAGUAGCUAACUGCUUCCAUGUGCAAGGCAGGUUCCAGACUUCGGGUGUGCUCACUGAUCCGCCUCCAGGGCCACCGCCAUGUCGAGCCGCGGUGGGAAGAAGAAGUCCACCAAGACGUCCAGGUCUGCCAAAGCAGGAGUCAUCUUUCCCGUGGGGCGGAUGCUGCGGUACAUCAAGAAAGGCCACCCCAAGUACAGGAUUGGAGUGGGGGCACCCGUGUACAUGGCCGCCGUCCUGGAAUACCUGACAGCGGAGAUUCUGGAGCUGGCUGGCAAUGCAGCGAGAGACAACAAGAAGGGACGGGUCACACCCCGGCACAUCCUGCUGGCUGUGGCCAAUGAUGAAGAGCUGAAUCAGCUGCUAAAAGGAGUCACCAUAGCCAGUGGGGGUGUGUUACCCAACAUCCACCCCGAGUUGCUAGCGAAGAAGCGGGGAUCCAAAGGAAAGUUGGAAGCCAUCAUCACACCACCCCCAGCCAAAAAGGCCAAGUCUCCAUCCCAGAAGAAGCCUGUAUCUAAAAAAGCAGGAGGCAAGAAAGGGGCCCGGAAAUCCAAGGUAUGUGAUUUGGCCAGAAUGUAUGAAGUGGGAUAGGA